GUGUCAGCAGCCGCGGUAAUACGUAGGGGGCAAGCGUUGUCCGGAUUUAUUGGGCGUAAAGAGCGUGUAGGCGGCCUGAAAGGUCAGCUGUGAAAACUCGAGGCUCAACCUCGAGACGUCGGUUGAAACCAUCUGGCUAGAGUCCGGAAGAGGAGUGUGGAAUUCCCGGUGUAGCGGUGAAAUGCGCAGAUAUCGGGAAGAACACCCGUGGCGAAGGCGGCACUCUGGGACGGUACUGACGCUGAGACGCGAAAGCGUGGGGAGCGAACAGGAUUAGAAACCCCGGUAGUCC
rnacentral:rRNA from 1 species